rnacentral:rRNA from 1 species
AUUGAACGCUGGCGGCAUGCCUUACACAUGCAAGUCGAACGGUAGAGUAGCAAUACUCGAGAGUGGCGAACGGGUGAGUAACAUAUCGGAACGUGCCCAAUCGUGGGGGGAUAACGUAGAGAAAUUUACGCUAAUACCGCAUACGAUCUAAGGAUGAAAGCGGGGGAUCGCAAGACCUCGCGCGAUUGGAGCGGCUGAUAUCAGAUAGGUUGUUGGUGAGGUAAAAGCUCACCAAGCCGACGAUCUGUAGCUGGUUUGAGAGAACGACCAGCCACACUGGGACUGAGACACGGCCCAGACUCCUACGGGAGGGCAGCAGUGGGGGAAUUUUGGACAAUGGGCGAAAGCCUGAUCCAGCAAUGCCGCGUGCAGGAAGAAGGCCUUCGGU